CAAGUGAGCCAGACGGAAAAAACUGUGUAAUUGAGUGCUACUGUGAAAAAAUUGUGGAAAAAAGUUAACAAAUACUUAGUGAAGUAAUUUUUUUAUAUCAAAUAAUUGUUAAAUACCCGCUACUACAAAUUCCACAACUUUUAUUCCAUAAAAAAUGAUAUAAAUUGUUCAGCCGACUAUUUUCAUAUUCACUUCACUACUUAACCUCAAAGUGGUUGUGUGAGACUCCCUGAGACACCCAAUCGCGUUUACGAUGCACCGCUAGUUGGAAAAUAGCGAAACCACAAUCGGAAAAGCUAAUGUUUGCUUAAUUAGAACAGAUUUGUACUAUUUUAUCUGUGUAUUAUAAAAAAAAACUAAAUAUGUCGACUGGAGCGCUGGUGCAGCAAUUCGUUUCUGGCCUCAAGUCGCGUAAUCGCAAUGUGCAAAGCAAAGCUGCACAGGAUUUGUUUCUAUAUGUAAAGACGGAGCUGCGUGAAAUGUCACAGGAGGACCUAGUCGCAUUCUUCGAUGAUUUCAAUCAUCAAAUAUUCAGUAUGGUAAAUUCUGCGGACAUCAAUGACAAGAAAGGCGCAGUUUUGGCCAUAAAAUGUUUAAUAAGUGGCGAUGUUGUGAAUACAAUGAAACGUAUUUCACCGUACUACAAUCACUUACGUACAUUGCUGCCUUCCAAUGAUACCACAGUAAUGGAGAUUGCAGCACGUACGCUGGUGAAAUUGGCUAACUUGCCCGGGUCAAAGGGUGCCGAAUCAAUCGAUUUUGAUAUCAAGCGCGCAUUCGAAAUGUUGAGUGGUGAUCGGCAAGAGUACCGCCGCCACGCAGCUGUCUUUAUUCUGCGCGAGCUAGCUAUUGCCAUGCCAACAUACUUUUAUCAACAAAUAUCAACAUUUUUCGAUAACAUUUUUAAUGCAAUAUUCGACCCCAAAGCAGCCAUACGCGAAUCGGCUGGUGAAGCGUUACGUGCCGCUCUUAUUGUUACCUCUCAACGUGAAAGCACGAAACAAUCAAGCGAACCACAAUGGUAUAAAACUUGUUAUCAAGAAGCAAACGCAAGCUUUGUAGCGGAACCAGUUGGUACAAAAGAUCAGAAGGGAAUGACACGCGAUGAUCGUAUUCAUGGCGGUCUUCUAAUCCUAAAUGAACUUUUCCGUUGUUCACAUGCCGCUUGGGAACGUCGUUAUGCUGCUUUGAAAGCACUUCUACCCGACGCACAACAUAACAAAUUUGGUGAAGUCAUGCACUCCAGCUCCGUUGGUAGUCAACUAACCACCUUAGUGCCUCGCUUGAAAGCACCAUUUAUAAGUAAGCUAGGUUCGACGCAUAUGCAUUUGGAACAUGAAGGACAACAUGGUGGUGCACAUAAGUUUUCAUCGGCCACCGUGCUGGAGUCUGCAUAUUCCCGUGAGAUACUCACAGAAAACUACACAAAUAUUUGCGAUAAUGUGCUGGAACAGCGCACCUCAAAAUCGCCUUACGUUCAGCAAGCACUGCUCCAAAUACUUCCACGCCUUGCUGCCUUCAAUCGUGAAGUAUUCGUGCAACGUUAUUUGCAAGAAUGUGUGAAUCAUUUGCUCAGCAUUGUGCCGCGAAAGGAGAAGGAUCGAAAUAUUGCAUACGUAACAAUCGGUUAUAUAGCAGUAGCUGUCGAACGUGAUAUUGACAAGCAUUUAAGGACAAUUAUGUGCGCUAUCAAAAUAGCAUUACCGCCAAAAAUCACACCCAGCAAACGUAAAUCGUCCAUAGACCCAGCUAUUUUUCAUUGCGUUACGCUACUUGCACACGCUGUAAAAUCGGCUAUCACCGAAGAUGUACGUAAUAUUCUAGAACAGAUGUUCUUUAGUGGUCUUUCGCCAGCACUGACCGUUUGUUUGCGGGAACUUGCUGAAAAUGUGCCACAUCUGAAGACUGCCAUUGCCGAGGGUCUCAUACGCGUGCUAUCGCAGGUUCUAAUGAAUAAACCAUUAACCAUGCCCUAUCAAACAUUGGCCACCAUACCUAUGGAUACAUCGUUAAAUCUGCAACAUGAUGUACCCACCGUUGUGCUGGCGCUAAAAACACUUGGUAGUUUCAAUUUCGAAGAGCAAAAUAUGCUCGAUUUCGUGCAACGCUGUGCCGAUCAUUUCAUUAAUCAUGAGCAGCAAGAGAUACGCUUGGAAGCGGUGCAAACGUGCACACGUUUACUAAAACUCGCCGUGCAGUCGGCUGACAGUUCAGAAAGCUCAAAUACACUUAGCGAAACAGUGUCACAUGUCAUUGAGCGACUGCUGAUUGUCGCCAUUACAGAUAUGGAUUGUAAUGUGCGCAUACGCAUAUUACGUUCUUUGGAUGAAACCUUCGAUGCUGAGCUGGCACAGCCUGAAUCGCUUAGUGCACUCUUUAUUACAUUAAAUGAUGAAAUUUUUGAAAUACGCGAGCUAGCAAUGGUUACAGUGGGACGCUUGUCCGCUAUGAACCCGGCGUAUGUAAUGCCAAAACUGCGUAAAAUAAUGAUACAACUACUGACUGAAUUGGAACAUUCGGGUAUGAGUCGCAACAAAGAGCAGAGCGCUAGGAUGCUGGACCACUUGAUUAUCAGCACACCAAGAUUGAUUUCAUCUUACAUGCACCCUAUACUUACCAUCCUUGUGCCCAAAUUACGCGAAGCCGACCCUAACCCUGGCGUUAUAUUGAAUGUCUUGCGCGCGAUCGGCGAUUUGGCUGAAGUGAAUGGCGGCUCGAAUGAAAUGGAAUUGUGGGCUGACGAUUUGCUAUCCAUUUUGCUUGAAAUGCUUGGUGACGCUGGUAGCCCAGAGAAACGUGGCGUUGCCUUGUGGACACUGGGUCAGUUGAUUAGCGCUACUGGUCGUGUGGUGACCCCCUACCACAAGUAUCCUGUGCUUAUUGAUAUACUUAUUAAUUUCUUGAAAACUGAACAACGUCGCUCCAUACGUCGUGAGACAAUACGGGUGCUCGGUCUACUGGGCGCCAUGGAUCCUUAUAAACACAAAAUGAAUAAGGGCUUAAUAGAUAGUCAGAAAGACAGCGUACUUAUAUCGUUGAGCGAUUUCAAAAUGGAUGAAAAUCAGGAUAUUUCAACAGCAGAACUACUUGUGAAUAUGAGCAAUGUACUUGAUGAAUACUAUCCAGCCGUGGCGAUUGCAGCACUGAUGCGCAUUUUGCGUGAUCCCACACUGAGCAGUCGCCAUACUAGCGUCGUACAAGCAAUAACUUUCAUAUUCAAAAGUCUGGGCAUUAAGUGUGUGCCAUAUUUGGCGCAAGUGUUGCCAAGUUUGCUGGAGAAUGUGCGCACGGCUGAUAUAAAUUUGCGCGAAUUUCUCUUCCAGCAGUUAGCCAUAUUGGUACAGAUCGUUAAACAGCACAUUAUAAGCUACAUGGGUGAUAUUUUUAAGCUCAUCAAAGAGUUUUGGACUGUUUAUACGCCACUGCAGUUGACAUUGAUCAAUUUGAUUGAGCAGAUCGCAUUGGCUUUGGGCUGUGAAUUCCGCAAUUAUUUGUCGCAGUUGAUACCACAAAUUUUACGCGUACUUCAGCAUGAUACUUCCAAGGAUCGCAUGGUAACCAAGCGUCUGCUGCACGCAUUGCAAAAAUUCGGCAAUACCUUGGAUGACUAUCUACACUUGAUUGUGCCGCCAAUUGUUAAGUUGUUCGACGCGCCAUAUGUGCCGCAACAAGUGUCGCUAGUGGCGUUGGAAACCAUCGACCAUCUCGCCUGGAUACUUGACUUUACUGACUUCUCUUCGCGCAUCAUACAUCCAUUGGUGCGUGUGCUAGAAGCCGAGCCUGAGUUGCGUGACCAGGCCAUGUCCACACUCUGCUCGGUGGUUAUACAGUUAGGCAAGAAAUAUCUCGUUUUUGUGCCACUUGUCGAACGCACCAUCGCGAAGCAUCGCAUUGUCGACCCAAAAUACGAGAAACUAUUAACUAAAAUCCAAAGUAAUACCACAAUGUGCCUGGACGAUGAGUUCCAUAUGCGGCAGGCUAAAUUUAAAUCCACCGAAUUAGUAGCGCCUAAUAGUGGCGGUAAUUUCACCAUGAAGCGUCUCAUUGUUUCUACAAGUAAUUUGCGCGCUGCCUGGCAGGUGACACGUCGUGUAUCCAAAGACGAUUGGGUUGAAUGGCUGAAGCGUCUCUCCAUAGGCUUGCUAAAGGAAUCGCGUUCGCAAGCAUUGCGUGCCUGCCACGUGCUCGCACAGGACUAUGACAAAUUGCUACGCGAUCUAUUCAAUGCGGCCUUUAUUUCCUGUUGGACAGAGCUUACUCCCGAACAUAAACACGAGCUUACACAAUCACUAAUACAGGCACUACAAGUAACCGAUAUGCCAGAAAUUACGCAAACUAUUUUGAAUUUAGCUGAAUUUAUGGAGCAUUGUGAUAAGGACCCAAUACCAAUUGAAACCAAAUUGCUUGGUACACGCGCCAUGGCUUGUCGUGCAUAUGCAAAGGCGUUGCGCUACAAAGAAGAGGAAUUCCAAACGCACAAAGAUCCACAGGUGCUUGAAUCCCUCAUACUCAUCAACAAUAAGCUUCAGCAAAAGGAAGCUGCUGAAGGUCUACUCACCACCUACCGCAACGCCAGCAAUGAGUUCAAAGUACAAGGUCGUUGGUACGAAAAACUGCACAAUUGGGAGCAAGCCCUUAAACACUAUUCCGGCAAUCUAAAAGAUAAUUGCAACGAUCUGGAAGCUCGGCUGGGUCAUAUGCGUUGUCUGGAAGCGUUGGGCGAGUGGUCGGAGCUAAGUACUGUCGCAAAACAGGAAUGGGACAAUCUGGGCCGUGAGGCCAGAUCGCGCGCAGGUCCGUUGGCUGCUGUCGCCGCCUGGGGCCUCCAAGAUUGGGAGGCCAUGCAAGAGUAUGUACGCUGCAUUCCGGAAGAGACACAAGACGGCAGCUUCUAUCGUGCAGUGCUCGCCGUGCACAAUGAGGACUUUGAGACGGCGCAGCGUCUAAUUGAUGGCACACGUGAUCUGCUCGACACCGAACUCACCUCCAUGGCUGGUGAGUCGUAUGAACGUGCCUAUGGCGCUAUGGUUUGUGUGCAGAUGUUGGCCGAAUUGGAAGAAGUAAUACAAUACAAGCUCAUACCCGAACGGCGUGAACCGCUGAAGGGCAUGUGGUGGAAGCGUUUGCAAGGUGGCCAGCGUUUGGUUGAAGAUUGGCGCCGCAUCAUACAGGUACACUCGUUGGUUGUGCGCCCGCAGGAAGACGUGCACACUUGGUUGAAAUAUGCCAGUCUGUGUCGCAAAUCGGGUUCGCUCCAUUUGUCGCACAAGACACUGGUAAUGCUGCUGGGCACAGAUCCAUUGGCACAACCGAACGAGCCACUGCCUUACAAUCAGCCACAGGUCACUUAUGCCUACACUAAGCACAUGGCUGCCGCCGAAAAUAUGCAGGGCGCCUACGAACAGCUCAGCCGCUUUGUAAAUGCUUAUCGUGCACAAUUGAAUUGUAUCGGCCCCGAGGAGGCGGCCAAACAGGCGGAUCAUCGCUUGCUAGCGCGCUGCUAUCUGCGGCUGGGCAAGUGGCAGAACAAGUUGCAGAGUUCGCUGGAGCCUGAAAUGGUGCAGGGUGCUUUGGACUGCUUCGAGAAGGCGACUGAGAAUGAUCCCACCUGCUACAAGGCGUGGCAUCUGUGGGCAUACAUGAACUUCAAGGUGGUGCAAGCGCAGAAGCAGCAGCUCGAUAAGCUGGCGCAUACGACUGUGAACGGCGACGUACUGCUGCAAAAGGAGAAGCUGAUGAUCGAACAGUAUGCCGUUCAGGCGGUAGACGGCUUCUUCCGCUCCAUCAGCCUCAUCAAAGGCAAUUCCUUGCAAGACACACUGCGCCUACUAACGCUAUGGUUUGACUAUGGCCAAUAUUCAGAAGUUUAUGACGCACUGCUCACUGGCAUGAAGACGAUCGAGAUCAACACUUGGUUGCAGGUGAUACCACAGCUUAUUGCGCGCAUCGACACGCACCGCAAGCUGGUCAAUCAGUUAAUACAUCAUCUGCUCAUCGACAUAGGCAAAUACCACCCACAAGCACUCGUCUACCCACUGACUGUGGCUUCCAAAUCGGCAUCGGUGGCACGUAAGAACGCUGCCUUCAAGAUACUCGAUUCGAUGCGUAAACACUAUCCCACGCUUGUCGAGCAGGCGAUGAUGUGCAGUGAGGAACUGAUACGCGUUGCCAUACUUUGGCACGAACAAUGGCAUGAGGGACUAGAAGAGGCGUCACGUCUUUACUUUGGUGAUCGCAAUGUGAAGGGCAUGUUUGAUAUACUCGAGCCGUUGCACGCGCUGCUCGAACGCGGUCCACAGACGCUGAAGGAGACAUCCUUCUCGCAGGCUUACGGUCGUGAACUAACCGAAGCGUACGAGUGGACACAACGUUACAAGACUUCUUCUGCACUGAUGGAUUUGGAUCACGCUUGGGACAUCUAUUAUCACGUUUUCCAAAAAAUUUCACGCCAAUUGCCACAGCUGACCUCACUCGAACUGCCCUAUGUAUCGCCCAAAUUGCUGGCAUGCAAGAAUCUGGAAUUGGCUGUGCCCGGCUCCUAUAAUCCCAAUCAGGAAUUGAUACGCAUCGACUACAUUAAAACCAAUCUGCAGGUGAUCACUUCAAAGCAGCGUCCACGUAAGCUUUGUCUGCGUGGCUCCAACGGCAAAGAUUAUAUGUAUCUGCUGAAGGGCCACGAGGAUUUGCGUCAAGAUGAGCGUGUCAUGCAACUUUUCUCGCUGGUCAAUACACUUUUACUCGACGAUCCAGACACGUUCCGUCGCAAUCUGGCCAUACAACGUUAUGCCGUCAUACCGUUGAGCACCAACUCUGGUCUCAUCGGUUGGGUGCCACAUUGCGACACCUUACACACGCUAAUACGAGACUAUCGCGACAAGCGAAAGAUGCCGCUCAAUCAGGAGCAUCGUCUCAUGUUGAGCGUCUCGCCCGACUAUGAUCACUUGACCUUAAUGCAAAAAGUUGAGGUGUUUGAGGGCGCGCUAGCGCAAACGCAUGGCGAUGAUCUCGCAAAAUUACUGUGGCUAAAGUCACCAUCGUCGGAGGUGUGGUUCGAGCGACGCACAAACUAUACACGUUCACUCGCCGUCAUGUCCAUGGUAGGCUACAUACUCGGCCUAGGCGAUCGCCAUCCCUCCAAUCUGAUGUUGGAUCGCAUGAGUGGCAAAAUACUGCACAUAGAUUUCGGUGAUUGCUUUGAGGUUGCAAUGACGCGCGAAAAAUUCCCCGAAAAGAUACCUUUCCGCCUGACGCGCAUGCUUAUCAAGGCUAUGGAAGUGACGGGUAUCGAGGGUACAUAUCGACGCACUUGCGAGAGUGUCAUGUUGGUGUUGCGACGCAACAAAGAUUCGCUUAUGGCGGUGUUGGAGGCAUUCGUCUAUGACCCGCUGCUAAAUUGGCGUUUGCUGGAUAUGGACAAAAAUCUUCGUUCCAAAUCAAAUAAUGAUCCAGGGGGUUCGGGCAUGUUGGGUGGCGGUAAUGGCAGUCUUAGCAACUCAGUGGAAGAACCGUUGCUGCACAGUCAACUAAUGAGCGCCAAUCUGAUGGUAGGUGGGCCCAUGAUGGUGGCCGACAUAACAAACAGCAAAGCGAGCAAGGUCAUCAAACGCGUGAAGAGCAAAUUAAAUGGCACUGACUUCCAAACGCAGAAUAGUGUGGCGGUGCCACAGCAAGUGGAUCUGCUCAUACAACAGGCGACCAAUAAUGAAAACUUAUGCCAGUGUUACAUUGGUUGGUGUCCAUUUUGGUAAGAAAUUAAAUGCGAAAAUCAUAGCAGAGAGAGGACAGAAGGCAAAAGUGUGAGAUAGUACAUAGAUGUGUGUCACAAUUACACGAAAGUGAAUUUUACAUAAGUGAGAAUAUAGCUUAAUGCAACAGGCUGUUGUUGAAGAACGCGUUUUGUUGCACGCUUUAAUUUGUUUUAGAGAAGAGAAGCUGCUUAAUCGUCGCUCAAAGAGCUGUAAGUACAGGAAAAUACUUCCUCCUAAUAUGCAGCGCAAUGAAAACAGCUUCACAUAAAAAUACAAUCGCCGUUCGGAGUCGGCGUAAAACUGUAGGUCCCUCCCCUUUGUGUGACAAUAUCAAGGC
rnacentral:misc_RNA from 1 species